UGUGCAUGGCCUACAUGGCAGCACCCUGCAGUCAGAGCUGACUGUGUGCACUGGAGGUGGAGUGUUGGAGUGGGAUCAGCUCAGAGCUCUGCAAGGUUUGCACUUUGCUUUCCACUCCACUGGCCAAGCCAGCCAGAUGUGCAGCAGCAGCAGGAUGGGCACGAGGGCCCCAGCUGCUGCGGUGAAUCCGUCAGCACGGACGCUGGUGCCGCUGCAGCCUGGCCCUGCAGCCUGGCAGGGUGAUCUCCUUUGGCUCGGCUCCUGCGGGCUCCAGGUAGGGUUUGUCUGUGUCUGCCAGGAGGGAAGGGUUGAAAAGGAGAUUGCUCAGUCAGAGCUCUGACCUAGUAGCUGAAGAUUCUGUCCCAUGCAGAUGCUGACAGAGCAGCUGGAUGAGCAGAAAGCCUCUCGUGCAAACGGCUGUGGAGUGCUUCUCUCUGUUCCCUGCUGCUGGGAGGUGCUGACAGGUUAGGGUUUGCAGGGAGGCAGAUCUCGCGGAGAAGGGCUGAACUCACUGUGCAAGGACACUGCACAAUCCAGUGUGGAUCAAAAGCGAGUGACAACUUUAUUUAGUAGCCACACGCUUAUAUGUGUUACAGAUAAUUUAUGCAUACAUGUAAGAAGCUAAAUGGCUGAAUCCCUAAAUACCCCAUUUGCUCUGCUUGAGUUGUCUGCUGACUCGUCAAGGACAGUGCCUCCCUGGCUAGUUAUAUUAAAUGCUGCCUUUGUUUAUUCAAUAUGUCUUUGUUUCUGUGUGGCCUAGCACAGCCUUAAUUUAGUUCCAUAUACUCAUCCUGCUUGCCCACUUCUAAGUCAUGUCCAUUUUCCUUUAGCCAUUCUGCAACAAGGGUUAGUGGAGGGGUGUGAAGAAUUUGCAGGGAUCUCUAAGGGUCUGCAGACACCUUUGAAAGGUCUGAAGUUGUCUGUAGAUGUCUCUAGGGUGCUGCAGGGGUCUGCAGGCACCUCUUAAAUGUCUGGAGGGGUCUGUAGCUGUCUGUAGAGGUCUCUAGAGCUUUGUAGAGGAAUGUGGGUGCCUGCAGCUGUCUCUAGGGGGGUGUGGAGGUCUGCAGGCACCUUUCAAAUGUCUGGAGGGGUCUGCAGAGCUCUGUCAGGGUCUGUAGAUUUUGGCAGGGUUCUGUAGGAGUCUCUGGGCAGCUUUUAAAGGUGUGAAGGGGUCUGUAGCUAUUUGUCAGGGUCUGAGAGAGUCUGCAGAGGUCUGUAGAGUUGAGUAGGUGUUUGGAGGUUUCUGUGUGGAUCUGUAGGUG